rnacentral:rRNA from 1 species
GCGUAACGCGUGGGAAUCUGCCCUCUGGUACGGAAUAACUCAGGGAAACUUGAGCUAAUACCGUAUAAUGACUUCGGUCCAAAGAUUUAUCGCCUGAGGAUGAGCCCGCGUCGGAUUAGCUAGUUGGUGAGGUAAAGGCUCACCAAGGCGACGAUCCGUAGCUGGUCUGAGAGGAUGAUCAGCCACACUGGGACUGAGACACGGCCCAGACUCCUACGGGAGGCAGCAGUGGGGAAUAUUGGACAAUGGGCGCAAGCCUGAUCCAGCAAUGCCGCGUGAGUGAUGAAGGCCUUAGGGUUGUAA